rnacentral:rRNA from 1 species
UACGUAGGGUGCGAGCGUUGUCCGGAAUUAUUGGGCGUAAAGGGCUCGUAGGCGGUUUGUCGCGUCGGGAGUGAAAACUCAGGGCUUAACCCUGAGCCUGCUUCCGAUACGGGCAGACUAGAGGUAUGCAGGGGAGAACGGAAUUCCUGGUGUAGCGGUGAAAUGCGCAGAUAUCAGGAGGAACACCGGUGGCGAAGGCGGUUCUCUGGGCAUUACCUGACGCUGAGACGCGAAAGCGUGGGGAGCAAACAGG